ACUCCUACGGGAGGCAGCAGUGGGGAAUAUUGCACAAUGGGGGAAACCCUGAUGCAGCCAUGCCGCGUGUGUGAAGAAGGCCUUCGGGUUGUAAAGCACUUUCAGUAGGGAGGAAGGUAGUGUAGUUAACACCUGCAUUAUUUGACGUUACCUACAGAAGAAGCACCGGCUAACUCCGUGCCAGCAGCCGCGGUAAGUACGGAGGGUGCGAGCGUUAAUCGGAAUUACUGGGCGUAAAGCGCAUGCAGGCGGCCUGUUAAGUCAGAUGUGAAAGCCCGGGGUCUUAACCUCGGAAUUGCAUUUGAAACUGGCAGGCUAGAGUCUUGGUAGAGGGGUUAGAAUUUCAGGUGUAGCGGUGAAAUGCGUAGAGAUCGUGAAGGAAUACCGAGUGGCGAAGGCGGCCCCUGGACAAAGACUGACGCUCAGAUGCGAAAGGCGUGGGAGCAAACAGG
rnacentral:rRNA from 1 species